AUUGAACGCUGGCGGCAGGCCUAACACAUGCAAGUCGAGCGGAUGAAGGGAGCUUGCUUCUGGAUUCAGCGGCGGACGGGUGAGUAAUGCCUAGGAAUCUGCCUGGCAGCGGGGGAUAACGGCCGGAAACGGGCGCUAAUACCGCAUACGUCCUGAGGGAGAAAGGGGGGGAGCCUCGGACCUUACGCUAUCAGAUGAGCCUAGGUCGGAUUAGCUAGUUGGUGGGGUAAAGGCCUACCAAGGCGACAAUCCGUAACUGGUCUGAGAGGAUGAGCAGUCACACUGGAACUGAGACACGGUCCAGACUCCUACGGGAGGCAGCAGUGGGGAAUAUUGGACAAUGGGCGCAAGCCUGAUCCAGCCAUGCCGCGUGUGUGAAGAAGGUCUUCGGAUUGUAAAGCACUUUAGGUUGGGAGGAAGGGCAGUAAGUUAAUACCUUGCUGUUUUGACGUUACCAACAGAAUAAGCACCGGCUAACUUCGUG
rnacentral:rRNA from 1 species